GACGAACGCUGGCGGCGUGCCUAAUACAUGCAAGUCGAGCGGACAGAUGGGAGCUUGCUCCCUGAAGUCAGCGGCGGACGGGUGAGUAACACGUGGGCAACCUGCCUGUAAGACUGGAAUAACUUCGGGAAACCGGAGCUAAUACCGGAUACGUUCUUUCCUCGCAUGAGGAAAGAUGGAAAGAUGGUUUCGGCUAUCACUUACAGAUGGGCCCGCGGCGCAUUAGCUAGUUGGUGGGGUAAUGGCCCACCAAGGCGACGAUGCGUAGCCGACCUGAGAGGGUGAUCGGCCACACUGGGACUGAGACACGGCCCAGACUCCUACGGGAGGCAGCAGUAGGGAAUCUUCCGCAAUGGACGAAAGUCUGACGGAGCAACGCCGCGUGAGCGAAGAAGGCCUUCGGGUCGUAAAGCUCUGUUGUCAGGGAAGAACAAGUGCCAGAGUAACUGCUGGCACCUUGACGGUACCUGACCAGAAAGCCACGGCUAACUACGUGCCAGCCGCCGCAGUAACAC
rnacentral:rRNA from 1 species